rfam:Brassica napus, WGS project CCCW01000000 data, contig: 7118
AGAAUGAAACAGAGCCAAAGUCAACUUGCCGGCAACCAAUAUCAGUUUUUUAGACUCAUCAGUAUAAUCGGCAAGUCAUCUUUGGCUCAAUAUCAUUCUCU